rnacentral:rRNA from 1 species
UAUAGAUGGAUCCGCGCUGCAUUAGCUAGUUGGUAAGGUAACGGCUUACCAAGGCAACGAUGCAUAGCCGACCUGAGAGGGUGAUCGGCCACACUGGAACUGAGACACGGUCCAGACUCCUACGGGAGGCAGCAGUAGGGAAUCUUCCGCAAUGGGCGAAAGCCUGACGGAGCAACGCCGCGUGAGUGAUGAAGGUCUUCGGAUCGUAAAACUCUGUUAUUAGGGAAGAACAUAUGUGUAAGUAACUGUGCACAUCUUGACGGUACCUAAUCAGAAAGCCACGGCUAACUACGUGCCAGCAGCCGCGGUAAUACGUAGGUGGCAAGCGUUAUCCGGAAUUAUUGGGCGUAAAGCGCGCGUAGGCGGUUUUUUAAGUCUGAUGUGAAAGCCCACGGCUCAACCGUGGAGGGUCAUUGGAAACUGGAAAACUUGAGUGCAGAAGAGGAAAGUGGAAUUCCAUGUGUAGCGGUGAAAUGCGCAGAGAUAUGGAGGAACACCAGUGGCGAAGGCGA